UACGUAGGCAGCGAGCGUUGUUCGGAAUUACUGGGCGUAAAGAGUGUGUAGGCGGUGCUUCUAAGUCUGUUGUGAAAUCCGUCCCGCUCGAACUGGGAGGGUUGCGGCGGAAACUGGAGUGCUCGAGUGUGGGAGAGGGUAAGCGGAAUUCCUGGUGUAGCGGUGAAAUGCGUAGAUAUCAGGAGGAACACCUCGUGGUGUAGACAGCUUACUGGACCACGACUGACGCUGAGACACGAAAGCGUGGGUAGCAAACAGG
rnacentral:rRNA from 1 species